CCUACGGGAGGCAGCAGUGGGGAAUAUUGCACAAUGGGCGAAAGCCUGAUGCAGCAACGCCGCGUGAACGAUGAAGGCCUUCGGGUCGUAAAGCUCUGUCCUCAAGGAAGAUAAUGACGGUACUUGAGUAGGACGCCCCGGCAAACUACGUGCCAGCAGCCGCGGUAAUACGUGGGGGGCUAGCGUUAUCCGCAAUUACUGGGCGUAAAGGGGGCGUAGGUGGUUUCUUAAGUCAGAGGUGAAAGGCUACGGCUCAACCGUAGUAAGCCUUUGAAACUGGGAAUCUUGAGUGCAGGAGAGGAGAGUGGAAUUCCUAGUGUAGCGGUGAAAUGCGUAGAUAUUAGGAGGAACACCAGUUGCGAAGGCGGAUGUCUGGACUGUAACUGACACUGAGGCACGAAAGCGUGGGGAGCAAACAGGAUUAGAUACCCGGGUAGUC
rnacentral:rRNA from 1 species